rnacentral:rRNA from 1 species
ACUAACAAGGAUUCCCCUAGUAACUGCGAGUGAAGCGGGAAAAGCUCAAAUUUAAAAUCUGGCAGUCUCUGGCUGUCCGAGUUGUAAUCUAGAGAAGUAAUGCCCGUGCUGGACCGUGUAUAAGUCUCCUGGGAUGGGGCGUCAUAGAGGGUGAGAAUCCCGUCUUUGACACGGACUACCAGUGCAUUGUGGUAUGCUCUCAAAGAGUCGAGUUGUUUGGGAAUGCAGCUCAAAAUGGGUGGUAAAUUCCAUCUAAAGCUAAAUAUUGGCGAGAGACCGAUAGCGAACAAGUACCGUGAGGGAAAGAUGAAAAGAACUUUGGAAAGAGAGUUAAACAGUACGUGAAAUUGCUGAAAGGGAAACGCUUGAAGUCAGUCGCGUUGGCCGGGAAUCAGCCUUGCUUUUGCAUGGUGUACUUUCUGGUUGACGGGUCAGCAUCAAUUUUGACUGCUGGAAAAAGGCCUGGGGAAUGUGGCAGCUCCGGCUGUGUUAUAGCCCCUAGUCACAUACAGUGGUUGGGAUUGAGGAACUCAGCACGCCGCAAGGCCGGGUUUCGACCACGUUCGUGCUUAGGAUGCUGGCAUAAUGGCUUUAAGCGACCCGUCUUGAAACACGGACCAAGGAGUCUAACAUGCCUGCGAGUAUUUGGGUGGAAAACCCAAGUGCGUAAUGAAAGUGAAAGUUGAGAUCCCUGUCGUGGGGAGCAUCGACGCCCGGACCAGAACUUUUGGGACGGAUCCGCGGUGGAGCAUGUAUGUUGGGACCCGAAAGAUGGUGAACUAUGCCUGAAUAGGGUGAAGCCAGAGGAAACUCUGGUGGAGGCUCGUAGCGAUUCUGACGUGCAAAUCGAUCGUCAAAUUUGGGUAUAGG